CCUACGGAAGGCAGCAGUGGGGAAUAUUGGACAAUGGGGGCAACCCUGAUCCAGCCAUGCCGCGUGAGUGAUGACGGCCUUAGGGUUGUAAAGCUCUUUUCUCCGGGACGAUAAUGACGGUACCGGAGGAAUAAGCCCCGGCUAACUUCGUGCCAGCAGCCGCGGUAAUACGAAGGGGGCUAGCGUUGCUCGGAAUCACUGGGCGUAAAGGGCGCGUAGGCGGCUGAUUUAGUCGAGGGUGAAAGCCCGUGGCUCAACCACGGAAUGGCCUUCGAUACUGGUUGGCUUGAGACCGGAAGAGGACAGCGGAACUGCGAGUGUAGAGGUGAAAUUCGUAGAUAUUCGCAAGGACACCAGUGGCGAAGGCGGCUGUCUGGUCCGGUUCUGACGCUGAGGCGCGAAAGCGUGGGGAGCAAACAGGAUUAGAUACCCUGGUAGUCCACGCUGUAAACGAUGAAUGCUAGCCGUUGGGGUGCAUGCACCUCAGUGGCGCCGCUAACGCCUUAAGCAUUCCGCCUGGGGAGUACGGUCGCAAGNUUAAAACUCAAAGGAAUUGACGG
rnacentral:rRNA from 1 species